rnacentral:rRNA from 1 species
CACGUAGUUAGCCGGUGCUUCUUUACCCAUUACCGUCACUCACGCUUCAUCACAGGCGAAAGCGGUUUACAACCCGAAGGCCGUCAUCCCGCACGCGGCGUUGCUGCAUCAGGCUUCCGCCCAUUGUGCAAUAUUCCCCACUGCUGCCUCCCGUAGGAGUCUGGGCCGUAUCUCAGUCCCAAUGUGGCCGGUCACCCUCUCAGGCCGGCUACCCGUCAAAGCCUUGGUAAGCCACUACCCCACCAACAAGCUGAUAAGCCGCGAGUCCAUCCCCAACCGCCGAAACUUUCCAACCCCCACCAUGCAGCAGGAGCUCCUAUCCGGUAUUAGCCCCAGUUCCUGAAGUUAUCCCAAAGUCAAGGGCAGGUUACUCACGUGUUACUCACCCGUUCGCCACUCGAGCACCCCACAAAAGCAGGGCCUUCCGUUCGACUUGCAUGUGUUAAGCACGCCGCCAGCGUUCGUCCUGAGCCGAGGAUCGAAACUCU